rnacentral:piRNA from 1 species
UUCGCCAUAUGCACCAGAUCC